CAAAUUUUCGUAUGUCGUCUUGAUUUUUUGAGUGUUAAAUUCAACCAAAUUUAUUUUUGAUAUUUGUUAAUGAGGCAAAAUGUAAACAAAAGCUAAUAAAGGCUUCUUAAGUUGAUUCCCUGAAGACGGUACCUUGACACCGCAUGAUGUUAGCGUCUUCACAAUAACCCAAUCAAUUCAACUUGAACACAGAAGAUUGAUAUUUAAAUUACAUAAAAUUAUAAACAAUAUUCAUUCAAUUUUGUACCUAAUUGGCAGGGCGCAACCAAGGUGAUAUUGUUAACACUAAGAAAAUUCAGACAACAAUUUGUGAAAAGACGGUACCAAAACGGAAUUGUGGUUUGCGUCUGAUAAGCUUCUCAAAAGUAUAAUACCACAAAAUCACCAACCUAGGACGGUACCAGCCCUUUAAUGCAGUAUUGAGGCGGUAGAUGGCGUCUUAUUGCAUUUGCAUUUUUGAUAAUUGAAAUAAUUUUGUAUAAACAAAUAAAAUUUGCUAUGAUUAUAUAUAUAUA